UACGUAGGGGGCUAGCGUUGUCCGGAAUCAUUGGGCGUAAAGAGCGUGUAGGCGGCCCGGUAAGUCCGCUGUGAAAGUCGGGGGCUCAACCCUCGAAUGCCGGUGGAUACUGUCGGGCUAGAGUGCGGAAGAGGCGAGUGGAAUUCCUGGUGUAGCGGUGAAAUGCGCAGAUAUCAGGAGGAACACCAAUUGCGAAGGCAGCUCGCUGGGACGUAACUGACGCUGAGACGCGAAAGCGUGGGAGCAAACAGG
rnacentral:rRNA from 1 species